rnacentral:rRNA from 1 species
CAGCAGCCGCGGGAAUACGUAGGGUGCAAGCGUUAAUCGGAAUUACUGGGCGUAAAGCGUGCGCAGGCGGUUAUAUAAGACAGAUGUGAAAUCCCCGGGCUCAACCUGGGAACUGCAUUUGUGACUGUAUAGCUAGAGUACGGCAGAGGGGGAUGGAAUUCCGCGUGUAGCAGUGAAAUGCGUAGAUAUGCGGAGGAACACCGAUGGCGAAGGCAAUCCCCUGGGCCUGUACUGACGCUCAUGCACGAAAGCGUGGGGAGCAAACAGGAUUAGAGACCCCAGUAGUCCCUGUCUCUUAUAC